GAUAACUUCGGGAAACCGAAGCUAAUACCGGAUAAUAUUUUUGGUUGCAUGACCGAAAAUUGAAAGGUGGCUUUUAGCUAUCACUUACAGAUGGACCCGCGGCGCAUUAGCUAGUUGGUGAGGUAACGGCUCACCAAGGCAACGAUGCGUAGCCGACCUGAGAGGGUGAUCGGCCACACUGGGACUGAGACACGGCCCAGACUCCUACGGGAGGCAGCAGUGGUCAUACUG
rnacentral:rRNA from 1 species